GGAAGGGGUUUUUGGAGGGUUUGGAGUGUAGGGAGGUUGAGAAAUAGGAGAGGGAGUGUUUGGAGGGGUUGGGACAUAAGGUUGGUUGCCAGGGGAAGGUGUUUUUGGAGGAGUGGGAACAUUUGGAGGACUAUAAGAAGGAGACGGUGUUUUUGGAGGCGUUGGAAUAUAGGGUGGUUGGUUACGAGGAGAAGGAGCAUUUGGAGGACUAUAAGCUGGAGAAGGUGUUUUUGGAGGAGUGGGAACAUUUGGAGGACUAUAAGAAGGAGAAGGUGUUUUUGGAGGUGUAGGAACAUAGGGUGGAUGGUUACCCGGGGAAGGAGCUAUUGGGGGGGCGUAAAUAGGAGAAGGUGUUUUGGGAGGUGUUGGAACAUUAGGAGGAGUAUAAACAGGGGAAGGAGUUUGUGGAGGAGUUGGAAUAAAUGGAGGAUGAUUAGUAGGUGAAGGUGCUUUAGGAGGAACAUAGGGAGGACUGUGAAUAGGAGAAGGUGUUUUUGGAGGGGUUGGAACAUAAGGUGGAUAAGGAAUUUUUGGAGGAGUUUGAGGAGGUGUUGGAACAUAAGGUGCUUUUGGAGGAGUAAUUGGAACAUAGGGAGUGUUUGGAGGUGUUGGAGGAUAAUAAGGAGGUGGCUCUCUCACAGCCAACACCACAAUAAUCAAUUUCUGACCCUUUUCACAAUUACCAUCUUUCCCACUAAUGAAGUAAAAUGGACCCGAUCGAUCAAACUGAAACUCCGAUUCACUAUCCUCAAACUUCUUGAUCGGGUUCUUCUUGUUACAUUUCUCAUA
rnacentral:lncRNA from 1 species